AGCGGGAGAUCGCGAACGUCAGGUCUUCCCAGUAUGAAAAUGUGAUGCAAGGGAUUUUGCCAUCAACAGCCAUCAAUAUCGUUAAGCCCUGCACAACUGACCUGCUGUUUCCCAUUUAACCACGGAAAUAAAUGAUGCUCAACUGGGACCACUGGCCGAAGUGAUUUAUUUUGAGAAAACACAACGCAUGGAGAGUACAUAUACAUCUGUUACAUAAGCACACAGCCAAGACAAUGAAGGAGUGGCUUCGGGACAAGUUUCUGAAUGUCCUUGAGUGGCCCAGCCAGAGCUCAAACUUGAACCCAUUCUAACAUCUCUGGAGAGACCUGAAAAUAGUUGUGCAGCGAAGCACAACGGGGUAAAGCAUUAUGGGAUAUUGUGUGUAGAUUGAUGGGGGGAACAAUUUAAUCCAUUUUAUAAUAAGGCUGUAACAUACAUUUUUGGGGGAAAAUGUCAAGGGGUCUGAAUACUUUCUGAAUGCACUGUACAUAAAUACAUGUAAAAAUGAGUAAUAUUGGCCAGUAGCAGGAUAAAUAGAUUAAUGGUAAUGGAAAUCAAUCAUCAAUCAUUUAGAGAGUUACAUCAGACAUCUAUUGUCUCCAUCACAUAGAUCAUUUGUAAUUACCAUCUAAAUCUCCUCAUUAUGCCUGGGUCAUGAGGCCUUUGUCAUAAAUAGUAGUUAUCCACAUUCAAUGAGCUAUUCCGGGCUGGGCUCAUUAUCAUUCUAUGGUUCCUCACUUGCUACCAGAGGUGACACAUAGUUCAUUACAACUACUCUCGUUACAGUAAUGGAUUUACAUUUCUGAGUACUUAUAUUACUUAUAAUAUUUUUCAGUAACUUUUCCUCUACUUGAGUAGGAUAUUUCAGUACUCUCCAACUCUGGUAAGUGCGUGAGUGAGUAAGUGAAUAGUUAAUAGUAUAUUUAAUUUUUAAAUGAGCUACUAUUCAUUUUUACUUUAGUCGUUUUUUUAACCAGUAAUUGUACUUCUACUUGAGUCAAAUGUAAUUAAAGUAACAUUACUUCUACUUGAGUAUAUUUUCGUAC